rfam:Salmo salar isolate Sally breed double haploid chromosome ssa23, whole genome shotgun sequence.
UGCACUCACUACUGUAAGUCGCUCUGGAUAAGAGCGUCUGCUAAAAGGCUAAAA